rnacentral:rRNA from 1 species
AUUGAACGCUGGCGGCAUGCCUUACACAUGCAAGUCGAACGGUAACAGGUCUUCGGAUGCUGACGGGUGGCGAACGGGUGAGUAAUACAUCGGAACGUGCCUAGUAGUGGGGGAUAACUACUCGAAAGAGUGGCUAAUACCGCAUGAGAUCUACGGAUGAAAGCAGGGGAUCGCAAGACCUUGUGCUACUAGAGCGGCCGAUGGCAGAUUAGGUAGUUGGUGGGAUAAAAGCUUACCAAGCCGACGAUCUGUAGCUGGUCUGAGAGGACGAUCAGCCACACUGGGACUGAGACGCGGCCCAGACUCCUACGGGAGGCAGCAGUGGGGAAUUUUGGACAAUGGGCGCAAGCCUGAUCCAGCAAUGCCGCGUGCAGGAUGAAGGCCUUCGGGUUGUAAACUGCUUUUGUACGGAACGAAAAGCCCCGGGUUAAUACCCUGGGGUCAUGACGGUACCGUAAGAAUAAGCACCGGCUAACUACGUGCCAGCAGCCGCGGUAA